UACAGAGGUCUCAAGCGUUGUUCGGAUUCAUUGGGCGUAAAGGGUGCGUAGGCGGCGCGGUAAGUCGGGUGUGAAAUCUCGGAGCUUAACUCCGAAACUGCAUUCGAUACUGCCGUGCUUGAGGACUGGAGAGGAGACUGGAAUUUACGGUGUAGCAGUGAAAUGCGUAGAUAUCGUAAGGAACGCCAGUGGCGAAAGCGAGUCUCUGGGCAGCAUCUGACGCUGAGGCACGAAGGCCAGGGGAGCAAACGGG
rnacentral:rRNA from 1 species